CCUUACUCGUUAGGCUACCCCCUAGUUUUCAUCUCUCCUCAUAGCAUUACUCUUGGUAAAACUCUUCACAUCUCAAAUCGUGAUUACAGUAUCAUUGUAGAAAGUACAAUGGAAACUUAAGAUUGAUGCCUCCACAAUCAAAAUCGUCAACAGCUCUAAGUUUUGUCAUCAUCAAGAUCUACAAAGAUUCUUAUUGCAAAAGCGUCGUUCCGCUCUCCUCCAUCUCUCUCACUCGGUGGUUCUCUCCUGCGGGCGGCUGCCGUACUCUCGGGCAAAGAUCGAUCUAAAGAGAUACACAUAGAAACAGCACAGAGAGCGACAGUUAGAGAGCAAGAGAGAUAGAUUGGAUCUUCAUUAGGAGGGCUUGGCAGAGAGACAUGGCUCCUCAGUCAUCAGGUUUACAUACUGGAAUUUUAAUGGCAUGAGUGGAGUCGGAAAAAAUAAAAAUAAAUAAAGGAUGUCAUCGGGAGACUAUCCAGGACGCGGCGUCAGUCUCGACUCGUGGGGUACUUUCCGUAUGCAAGGAAGGAGGGCCAUGUCUGUCAGCCCCUACUUUAGCCGCCGACACUGUACAAGUGCCGCCGAGGAAAUGAUCAAAACAGAGAUAUGUAAGGUAGAAACGGAGUACUCCCACUAUACGAGGGAGCAUAAGAGGUCCCUGGUACGGCGCCGCCUACAAUUUUUAAGUCGGGCAACAAAGAAGGCAAUCCAAAUGGAGCAAUAUGAUCAGAGGAUGGACUCCUUGAUACACCGAGCUUUGACCACCAUAGCAUUCCACCGACCAUCGACUCAGGCUGAAAGCUACGAAUCUUGUUAUCAAGGGCUGAGCGACAAUCAACCAAUGGAUAUGGAGCAGCCACCCAAACAGCAAGGGGCAACCCAAGCCUACCCCAUAGAGGUGUCAUCUGAACACAAUCCCUCCUCACCAAGGUACACCCCCCGCUCUCCGGACCAAGCAACUGACUCCGCUGAAGAAGACCCAGAAGAAGACUUUUAUUGGUCGGGAAACGAGAACUAGUUCGAGGAAUAGUAAAACUAAACUUUUGUAAGAUCCGCUGAUGGGGAUCCUUAGAAUAAGAUAGCUUGAACUUCGUAAUGCGUAGAUGCCCUUUGAAUGUAACUCUGAUUUGGAAGCCCUUUUGUAAUGAUGCCUAUUAUAAUAUAUGAAUGAUGUGUUGAUCUAUGUUGUUGACUGUUA